rnacentral:lncRNA from 1 species
AGCAUCAACCACUCCAUCAAGCAGGAGGCUUGAAGAGCAGAUUGGUCAACUCCAUCAUCACAAAGCAUAAUCAAAAGAGAUAUAGAGCUCUACAGCUGAAGGAACUGCAGGAAAGACAUGAAAUUCAGACUCACAGAGAAGCACUGACUCCCCAGGGAGGUGACUCCUGUAGUAGUAACAAGUCUCAGCCUACAGUCGUCAUCUGUUUCUCCUGAUUGCAGGAAAAGCUUUGAAAUGGCAGUGGUACAGGAGAAGCUUCUGCCCCUGGGUCAGAACCAAAUGAUAACCUCAUUUCAACACAUUGUACGCUGCUGGAAAAGAAACCCUCGAUGCAUGUACAGACUAGAGGAUGAGAAGCUGAAGACCAGUCCCACAGAAAAUGGUUUGGGGGUUGAUCACAAGCUAAAUAUGAAUCAGCAGUGUGCCCUGACAGACAAAAGUACCAACCACACCCUGCAACGUAUCACGCUCAGCUUUGCUAGAUGGUCAAGUGAAGGUAUCUUCACUGAGUACAUAGUUGGUCACUUUGGACAAUGCUCUCAGAAAUAGGGCUUGAAUUUUGAGUGAUUCUGUGUGGAGCCAGGAGUUCAAUUUGAUGACUGAGUCUCUUCUACCUCUAGUUACUCUAUGAUGCUAUGUUUCUCUCUCAAGGAUAAAGACAUGAAACAAGGGACUAGAAGCUUUUAUACAGACAAGUGAGUGUCACUUUGGGAGCCUUGGUUUGAGUCAUGCUAGUUGAUCGUAGGUUUGGCUGCCUGGUUUACCUGGGCAAGACUUGUGACGUAAGCCUGAUACAGUAUUGAAAUACUGUUUGGUUAAAGUUUCAGAAGGUGAAGGUCAAUACAUCUAUGGAAGAAAUAUCUUAAGGAAGAGGAGAGGAGAGGAGAGGAGAGGAGAGGAGAGGAGAGGA